AGUUCCCAAAAUAAUUAUUGCCUACAUGAUUUGAGGCAAGAGAAGAAAUUACCAUGUAAUACUUGCUUAUUUUACCUCCUCCUACAGAACUUCUAAUUAAUAUUAAUAUAAUUUUGUGUUGUUGAGAAAUUACUGCUUUUCUUAAGGGACACACUUACAAUUAAAAAGUCUAGGUAUCUCCAGGCUAUCUUCUCCAACCAACAUUGACAUGUUUGAGAUAUUCAUCCCAGGAGAAACUAAAGGUUUAUGUUCAAAUUUGAGCAAAAGCAUUGCUCUUCAUAGAUGGCACCAAUUCUUUGGACCAACUUCUCUUGGCAGCAAGUUGUCCCGCGGUGAGUUGGUCAUGAUAAGUUGGCUGCGACGAGUUGGCUGUGACCUGUGAAGAUCAUAAAUUCAAGGUUCGGUUGUAAAGUUAUUUUUUCAUCACCAUCAUAAUUGUGAUUAACCAAGACGGUUGCUAAAUAAGGUCUACGUGUAUUGUGAGGGACUCAACCUUAUUCUGGCAGUCAUGCUAAUAGCUUUUAAGACUAAACAAAUCCUAUGCAAGCAUGCACAAGUUUGUAAAAAUAUAUGAAAACUCAUUCUGGAUAUAGCUGAAGAUCCAUUUAACCUCACUUUUUGGUCAAC